rnacentral:tRNA from 1 species
ACUAUUUUGGCAGAUUAGUGCAUUGAAUUUAGAAUUCAUUUAUGUAGAUUUAUUCUACAAGUAGUA